rnacentral:rRNA from 1 species
CCGAAACAUGGUGUUGCACUUCGGUGGCCAGGGCGACAGAUGUAUCAUGGCUGUCGUCAGCUUGUGUGGUGAGAAGUUGGUCUUAGUCCCGCAAGGAGAGCAACCCCUUCCAAUAGUAGCCAUCAGCUCAUGUUGGGCACUUUAGAGGGACCGCCGGUGUUAACCCGGAGGAAGGUGGGGCAGACGUCAAGUCCUCAUGGCCUUUAUGCCCAGGGCUACACACGUG